AUGAUAUUUAUACUACCAUUUUGUAACAAGUUUUGUGACAAUUUUCUCUCUCAUAUUCACAUAUGUUUUUACUUUAUCUCUCUAUUGCUUUGAUUUUCGUGCCAAAACCUACUUUUCCUUUGUAAAUUUAUGGUUGUCAAAUAAAUUGUCUAUCAAAUGGUUGUUCAAAUAACACACCUCUUAUUUUUUUUGUUAUAGGUCAAUUGAUAGGUUAUAAUUGAUCCUAAAUUUUUAGUCUCUUGAUUCGGACGACACCACUAAAAUUGUUCCCCAGAUUCUCUUCUUUAUGGAAGCAAGUUAUUUCCAUUUGACCAACACGAGUUGCUUGUAGAUUUACAUUUACUAAUUUAUUCGAUUUUUUUACCAAAUAACUUAUCUCACCAACCUGUCGGCUUUCCCUAUCUUAUAUUUUAUAUAUACACAUACAAACUAUGUAUAUGAUAAAUUGGUUUGGUUUUAAACUAUAAAUAUUACAUAUGUAGAUAACAUGCAAGUCCCUAUCAACAUAAAUAUAAACUAUAAGUCAAAGAAAUUUCAGUCGGUUCUAGAGAAUAUUAAUACUUGACAAGGGAGGGGUCUGUUUUGGGAGAAUAUUUUGAUCAGUUUCUUCAAAAAAAGGUUACGUGGAGAAUAAAAAAAUUAUGAACGGAAGCUUUUCAUCUCUUUAAGAUAAUAAGAAAAUAAAUACUAACGAGUUCUAAAGAUACAUGACCCAUUUUUAUUUACAUUAUGGUGGAGUAUAUUUCAAUAUACUCUUUUUAUUUGUGUAGAAUUUGUAUCGGAUUCAUAUAAUUUAGUGUCGGUUAUAUGAAUUUCAACAAAUAAAUAUAGUAUAUUGAAAUAUGGGUUAGGUUAGAAAUAUCAGCAAGAUUUAUUUUAACACCGACUCUCUUAUUGAUAGAAAUAUAUGUAAAUGACAUCACUUUAAAAAUGAUUUUCACAUACAAGUUUUUAGC
rnacentral:lncRNA from 1 species